rnacentral:rRNA from 1 species
AUUGAACGCUGGCGGCAGGCUUAACACAUGCAAGUCGAACGGUAACAUAAAGAAGCUUGCUUCUUUGAUGACGAGUGGCGGACGGGUGAGUAAUGCUUGGGAAUCUAGCUUAUGGAGGGGGAUAACUACGGGAAACUGUAGCUAAUACCGCGUAGAAUCGGGAGAUGAAAGUGUGGGACCUUCGGGCCACAUGCCAUAGGAUGAGCCCAAGUGGGAUUAGGUAGUUGGUGAGGUAAGGGCUCACCAAGCCGACGAUCUCUAGCUGGUCUGAGAGGAUGACCAGCCACACUGGGACUGAGACGCGGCCCAGACUCCUACGGGAGGCAGCAGUGGGGAAUAUUGCGCAAUGGGGGCAACCCUGACGCAGCCAUGCCGCGUGAAUGAAGAAGGCCUUCGGGUUGUAAAGUUCUUUCGGUAGCGAGGAAGGCAUUUAG